rnacentral:misc_RNA from 1 species
UACGGAGGGUGCAAGCGUUAAUCGGAAUUACUGGGCGUAAAGGGCGCGUAGGCGGUUUGUUAAGCGAGAUGUGAGAGCCCUGGGCUCAGCCUGGGAAUUGCAUUUCGAACUGGCAGGCUAGAGUGUAGAAGAGGGGUGUGGAAUUUCCGGUGUAGCGGUGAAAUGCGUAGAGAUCUGGAGGAAUACCGAUGGCGAAGGCAGCCAUCUGGCCUAAUACUGACGCUGAGGUACGAAAGCAUGGGGAGCAAACAGG